ACAAAUACGUAAAUAUUUGUGCUGUGUUCGCCGCAAUUUAAAUGCCAUAAAAAUCAUAAAUUUAAUAUGAAAAAUGUUCGCAGUUUGCACAGUUUUAAUGGCAGCAACCUAUCGUUAUUGUAGUUCUUCUUCUUAUUGUCGUUGUUGAUCUCUAAAGCGGAUUAUUCACAGCGGCGCGCGUUAAAAUACAAACAAAAGCAAACAAAAGCUCCUGUUGGCCAAUAGGACAACGUUUCGCCCAUUCACAUGGCAGCCUCUGCAUAAAUGGCGGUUGGCUGGCAUUAACAUUGAGUGAUUCUUUCGCUGCGGAAAUCUUGCAACAUGUGUGCUUUAAAUAAUAAACGCCAGUCUCUUAAUUGCUGUAAUUCUGCUAAAAGGCAAUGCAGCGCACGAAUGAUAAUUGAAUAGAGGCAUUAAUUGCACUGUGGUUUGUUUGCCAUCGCACACACACACAGAGCAAAAUAGACAGCAACAAGCAUAAAGAGAGAUACACACACAACGGUGGAAGCAGUGGAGGAGAUUUACUGCGUAACACAAGAAGCAUAAUCAAGUGCAUUUGCAAUGCAAACAAAGUCCAGUCUGCGGUCGCCGUUGCUGCUGCUGCUUCUGCUGCAGCUGGCAAUCCAAAUUGCACAGAUCUCGGGCUAUCUAAUUAUUGUGCACGAACAAACACCGCCGGGCGCUGUCAUCUUUAAUGCUUCCGUUUACAAAUUGGGCUCGGAGCGUCAUUACAAAAUCAAUGCGCAUAAAUCGGCCAACUUUGUGCAUCAUCUAGUCGCGGUCAGCCACAAGGAUGGCCAGAUACAGCUAAAGAAAUCGCUUAAAUGCGAUGGCAUCUACUAUCCCAAUCUGUUCACCUUCUACGUGGACUCAACAUCAAAUCGCCUGCGAUCGAUUGACUACUACAGUCUGCCCGUGCGCAUCUUUAUCUCGGGCCAUAGUUGCAAUGAGGACCGACGUAUUGAGCAGGAGCUGCAUCAUCUGCAUCACUUCGAGGAGGAGGACAACACGGGCUACUCGAAACGGAGACGACGACGUCGAGAUUUGCGACAAGAAUUCCUGCAACUCGAUGGCAACCAGCUGGAGCAAGCGUACAGUGAGAACAGUACAGACUUUCGGGCGGGGGAUCUUAUUUUCGGCAACACUUUUGACAACGAGAUGCGACAUCGCAUCCUUAGUCGUAAGCGUCGUGGCGUCUCCACGGAUCCAUUGCAGUUGCAGCCAGCAUUACACAGACGCAUCACAGAUGCCAAGCAAUGGAUAUCGGAGACCUAUGCCUCGUAUGCCAUCCACACAACAGACAAAUGGAAUCAGAUCUGUUUGCGGAAAUCGCAGUUGAUCAACAAUCUAAGCGCCUUUCUGCCCAAGUCUGUGUGUCAACACUGCAAAGUGAAUUUCCUCGACGUGAACGAUGAGCGAUUUGCCAUUGAACACCAGAAUCGUGAUCUGGUGGCAAGUCGUGAUGUCUGCAUACACGAAUCAAUGUGGAAAGUGAGCAUCACGUUCAACAUACGGUGCAAUCGCAACGAUAUUGUGGACUCAGAUCAUCGCCUAAAGAUCGUUUACCAUCAUCAGGAGUUCAAUGACACCGACAUUGCGAAGCGAGUGCGUCGCGAGCUGCGCAAUCAAUCUCCUUACUUUGAACAGGCUUUGUAUGUGGCCUCGGUGCUCGAGGAGCAGCCAGCUGGCGCUGCUGUGACCACAGUGCGUGCUCGUGAUCCUGAGGAUUCACCUGUGGUGUACUCCAUGGUCUCGCUGUUGGAUUCACGCUCGCAGUCGCUGUUCAAGGUAGAUUCUCGCACUGGUGUGGUUACCACUUCGGCCAGUCUGGAUCGCGAACUAAUGGAUGUGCAUUACUUUCGAGUGGUGGCCACAGAUGAUAGCUUUCCGCCACGCAGUGGCACCACAACGCUGCAGGUGAAUGUUCUUGACUGCAACGAUCAUAGUCCCACCUUCGAAGCCGAGCAGUUUGAGGCGAGUAUACGCGAGGGCGCCACGGUGGGCUCGACGGUGAUAACGCUGCGUGCCACGGAUCAGGACAUUGGCAAGAACUCAGAAAUUGAGUACGGCAUCGAAGGCGUGACAGAUGGUGUUGGCAAUGCGCAGGACCAGGAGAUGCCCAUCUUUCGCAUCGAUUCACGCUCUGGUGUCAUCUCGACGAGAAGCAGCCUGGACCGCGAGACCUCGGACAGCUAUCAUCUGCUAGUAACCGCUUCAGACAUGGCGGCAGCUCAAAGCGAACGCAAGACAGCCACAGCGAGCGUGCUCGUCAAGAUUCUCGACGACAACGACAACUAUCCGCAGUUCAGUGAACGCACCUACACGGUUCAGGUGCCGGAGGAUCAGUGGGGUGACGAUAACAAUGUGGCACAUAUACGCGCCACAGAUGCGGAUCAGGGCAACAAUGCGGCCAUUCGGUAUGCAAUCAUUGGUGGCAACACACAGUCGCAGUUCUCCAUUGAUUCCAUGAGUGGAGAUGUCAGUCUGGUUAAGCCUUUGGACUACGAGAGUGUUAGAAGCUAUCGUCUCGUUAUACGCGCGCAAGAUGGCGGUAGUCCAUCGAGAAGUAACACCACACAGCUACUGGUGAACGUGAUCGAUGCCAAUGACAAUGCGCCUCGUUUCUAUACUUCGCAGUUCCAGGAAAGCGUGCUUGAGAAUGUCCCGGUGGGCUACAACAUCAUUCGGGUGCAGGCCUACGACUCGGAUGAGGGCGCCAAUGCGGAGAUUAGUUACAGCAUCUCGGAGAGGGACGACAACUUUCCGCUUGCUGUUGAUCCGCGCACUGGCUGGGUGCAGACCAUCAAGCAACUGGAUCGCGAGGAACAAAGUCGUUUUGCCUUUCAAGUUGUAGCAAAAGAUGGUGGAGUGCCACCCAAGUCAGCCAGCUCCUCGGUAGUAAUUACGGUGCAGGAUGUGAAUGACAACGAUCCUACCUUUAAUCCCAAAUACUACGAGGCCAAUGUGGGCGAGGAUCAGCCGCCUGGCACGCCAGUAACUACAGUGACAGCCACCGAUCCCGAUGAGGACUCGCGACUGCACUACGAAAUUAGCACCGGGAAUACGCGAGGACGCUUUGCUAUCACCUCGCAGAAUGGCAGGGGUCUCAUCACCAUUGCUCAGCCAUUGGACUACAAGCAAGAGAAAAGAUUCCUGCUCACGGUGACGGCCACAGAUUCAGGUGGACGUUCCGACACGGCUACUGUGCACAUCAACAUCACGGAUGCGAAUAACUUUGCGCCCAUCUUUGAGAAUGCUCCGUAUAGCGCCUCGGUGUUUGAGGACGCUCCUGUAGGCACCACAGUGCUUGUAGUUUCGGCAACAGACAGUGAUGUGGGCAUCAAUGCACAGAUCACCUACUCGCUGAACGAGGAAAGCAUCAAUGGCUUGAGCAGUCCAGAUCCAUUUACAAUUAAUCCACAGACGGGUGCGAUUAUUACGAGUGCAGCGCUAGACAGAGAGACCACAAGUGGUUAUCUUUUAACUGUGACAGCCAAGGAUGGCGGCAAUCCUUCUCUCAGUGACACCACCGAUGUAGAGAUCAGCGUAACGGACGUGAAUGACAACGCUCCGGCUUUUAAAAAUCCUCUCUAUCAAUCCUCUAUACUGGAGGACGCACUGGUGGGCACCUCGGUGAUACAGGUGUCUGCCAGUGAUCCGGAUAUCGGUCUCAAUGGACGCAUCAAGUAUCUGCUCAGCGAUCGCGAUGUCGAGGAUGGUUCUUUUGUAAUUGAUCCAACUUCGGGCACCAUCAGGACUAAUAAGGGUUUGGAUCGCGAGAGUGUUGCCGUCUAUCAUCUGACGGCCAUUGCUGUAGAUAAGGGAUCCCCACCGCUUUCAAGCACUGUGGAGGUGCAGAUACGCUUGGAAGAUGUCAACGAUUCCCCGCCCACAUUCGCUUCUGACAAGAUUACACUCUACGUGCCGGAGAACUCGCCAGUUGGAUCUGUGGUGGGUGAGAUACAUGCUCAUGAUCCCGACGAGGGUGUCAAUGCGGUGGUGCAUUAUUCCAUCAUCGGUGGCGAUGAUUCCAAUUCAUUCUCACUGGUCACACGUCCCGGUUCCGAGCGUGCCCAGCUGCUGACCAUGACGGAAUUGGACUAUGAAUCCUCCCGCAAACGCUUCGAGCUUGUGGUACGAGCAGCGAGUCCUCCGUUACGUAAUGAUGCGCACAUCGAAAUCCUUGUCACUGAUGUUAAUGACAAUGCGCCCGAGUUGCGCGACUUUCAAGUGAUCUUCAACAAUUUCCGCGAUCACUUUCCAAGUGGAGAAAUCGGACGCAUUCCUGCAUUUGAUGCUGACGUCAGCGAUAAGCUCAACUAUCGCAUACUCUCGGGUAACAAUGCGAAUCUAUUGCGCUUGAACAGCAGCUCGGGUGGCCUGAUACUGAGUCCACAGCUGAAUACGAAUGUGCCCAAAUUUGCCACCAUGGAGGUGUCUGUAUCCGAUGGCAUUAACGAGGCCAAGGCUAUCAUGCAGCUCUCCGUGCGUUUGAUCACCGAAGACAUGUUAUUCAACUCGGUAACAGUGCGACUCAACGAGAUGACCGAGGAGGCAUUUCUCUCUCCGCUGCUGAACUUCUUCCUCGAUGGUUUAGCUGCUAUUAUUCCCUGUCCCAAGGAGAACAUCUUCAUCUUUAGCAUACAAGAUGACACAGACGUCACGUCACGUAUACUUAACGUCAGUUUCUCCGCCAAGCGACCAGAUGUCUCUCAUGAGGAAUAUUAUACGCCACAGUAUCUGCAGGAGCGAGUCUAUCUCAAUCGUGCAAUCCUCGCUAGGUUGGCAACAGUCGAAGUGCUGCCAUUUGAUGACAAUCUCUGCGUGCGUGAGCCUUGCUUGAACUUUGAGGAGUGCCUGACAGUGCUGAAAUUCGGCAAUGCCUCGGAGUUUAUACACAGCGACACGGUGCUCUUCCGACCAAUUUAUCCAGUCAACACCUUUGCCUGCUCAUGUCCCGAAGGCUUUACGGGAAGCAAAGAGCAUUACCUGUGCGACACUGAAGUGGAUCUCUGCUACUCCGAUCCCUGCCAGAAUGGCGGUAGUUGCGUCCGGCGGGAAGGUGGUUACACCUGCGUUUGUCCCGACACCCACACGGGACCAAAUUGCGAGACGAGCAUUAGCAAGCUGCGACCCUGCAUGUCCGAUGCCUGCGAGGGUGGAUUGUCCUGCAUGCAGAACUAUCUGAGUUCUCAGCCGCCGCCUUAUACUUCGACCUGUGAGCUCCGUUCUCGCUCCUUCUCGCGCAACUCUUUCCUUACUUUCGAGAGUCUCAAGCAGCGGCACCGCUUUAAUCUCAAGCUGCGCUUUGCCACCGUUCAAGACAAUGGACUUCUGCUCUACAACGGGCGCUACAAUGAGCUGCAUGACUACAUAGCUCUGGAGUUGCUCGACGGACACAUUGGCUUUUCCUUUUCCCUAGGCGACAGCAGCGAACGUGUGUCUCUGGUUCAACCCAGCAAGGUAUCAGACGGCAAGUGGCAUGAAGUGGAGAUCAUUUACUUCAAUCGUACUGUCACCUUGGUUCUGGACAAGUGUGACACGGCAAUCGCCCUGUCCGGACAGCUAAGCGCGCCUUGGAACUGUGCCAAUCAGACCACACUGAAGCUGGACAAGCGUUGUGCGUUACUUACCGAAACCUGUCAUCGUUUCCUUGAUCUCACUGGACCACUGCAAGUGGGAGGUUUGCCUCGCAUUCCUGCCCACUUUCCGGUGGCCAAUCGUGACUUUGUGGGCUGCAUUUCGGAUCUGCGCAUUGAUGAGCGCUAUGUUGAUCUCAAUUCGUAUGUGGCGGAUAAUGGCACCAUUUCGGGUUGUCCGCAAAAGUCUCCGCUUUGCUCCUCUGAGCCCUGCUUUAAUGGAGGAACCUGUCACGAGGGCUGGAGCACCUACAGCUGCGAGUGUCCCGAAGGUUAUGCGGGCAACAACUGCCAGGACAAUAUACCUGCCCCCUGGCGCUUCUCUGGCGAUGGCAGCUUGAGCUUCAAUCCGCUGCUGCGUCCCAUUCAAUUGCCCUGGCUUACAUCGUUCUCGAUACGCACGCGUCAGGAAGAUGCAUUCAUCAUGCAGAUCCAGAUAGGACAAAACAGCUCAACGGUCAUAUGCCUGAAGCACGGCAUACUCUACUAUAUCUACGACAAUGAACCCAUGUAUCUGGCGGGCGCUUAUCUUUCCGAUGGCGACUGGCAUCGGGUAGAGAUCAAAUGGCAGCAGGGCUCGGAAAUACAAUUCUCCGUGGACUACGGCCAACGCACUGGCUCUGUACCCAUGUCUCAGAAGGUGCAAGGACUCUACGUAGGCAAGAUUGUGAUGGGCAGCGUGGAUGGUACCAUUGGCACUGUACAAGAUGCAGUGCCUUUUGAGGGUUGUCUUCAGGAUGUGCGCAUUGGCGCCAGUCAAUCAGUGUUAUCGCGUCCCACUAUUCGCGAGAAUGUUGAGGAUGGCUGCGAGUCAAGGGCACAGUGUCCAAACAGUUGUCCUGCCCACUCGAGCUGUGUCAGCAGCUGGGAUGAAGCGAAAUGCGAAUGCAGCUCUGGAUAUGUAGGAACAGACUGUGCGCCCAUUUGCACUGUGAAACCUUGUGCUGCAGGUGUUUGUCGAGCUAAUGUCAGCCUAUCAAGAGGUUACAGCUGUGAAUGCAACAGCAGCUAUCAGCACGGAGAUUACUGCGAACGCACCUUGCAACAACCUUGCCCAGGAGGAUGGUGGGGCGAAAGGGUUUGCGGUCCCUGCAAAUGCAACAUCAAACAGGGUUAUCAUCCGGACUGCAACAAGACGACGGGGCAAUGCUACUGCAAGACGAAUCACUACCAGCCUCCCAAUGAAACGGCUUGUUUGGCCUGUGAUUGCUACUCCAUUGGCAGCUUUAACAGUGCCUGCAAUCGACUGACGGGACAAUGUGAGUGCCGCGAGGGCGUCAUUGGCAGGCGCUGUGAUUCUUGCUCUAAUCCCUAUGCAGAGGUCACGCUCAAUGGCUGCGAGGUAGUGUACGAUGCCUGUCCGCGCUCCUUUGCCGCAGGCAUUUGGUGGCCACGCACUCCGCUGGGCAGUGUAACUGUGGAAAAUUGUCCGCUUCCUGCCCGUGGCAAAGGACAACGCAGCUGCGACAGUCAGACGGGCAGCUGGAGCACGCCAGACAUGUACAACUGCACAUCGGAGCCAUUUGUAGAGCUGCGUCGACAACUUUCACAGCUGGAGAAACUGGAGCUGGAGCUGAAUUCGUUUGUAGCCAUCAAAAUGGCCGAGCAACUGCAGCAUGCCUGCGAGACUGUUGAUCGUAGUGCAGUGAGUAAACCACCAGCCCCGAAACACAACCGAAGAUACAAAAUGGAGUCGUCGUUCCUGCAGAAUGCUGGUGGCGCAGGCGGUGCCGUCUGGUCACAUGAGCUGGAAAUGGACUAUCUGUCCGAUGAACUGAAAUUCUCACACGAUCGACUCUACGGCGCUGAUCUCCUCGUGACCGAGGGUAUACUGCAGGAACUUAUUAACUAUGAGCUCAUGCAGAGUGGUCUCAAUCUGACGCAUAGUCAAGACAAGUACUUCAUCAAGAAUCUGGUAGAUGCUGCUAGCGUGAUACUCGAUCGUAAGUACGAUGCAGAAUGGAAGCGUGCCACAGAGUUGAUACAGCGUGGGCCCGACGACCUCGUGGAUGCUUUCAACAAGUACAUGGUUGUCCUGGCACGUUCCCAGCACGACACCUACACCAAUCCCUUUGAGAUCGUACAGCGGAACAUGGUCCUCGGGUUGGAUAUUGUCACCACCGAAUCGCUGUUUGGCUAUGAGCCAGAACAGCUCAGCGAGUACCACAAAGCCAAGUACCUGAAACCGAAUGCCUUUACCACGGAGAGCGUCAUACUGCCCGAUACGAGCGGCUUUCUGCAGCACUCGGCGAAGCAGAAGCCUGUGAUUAGCUUCCCCAAGUACAACAAUUACAUUCUCGAUAAGCACAAGUUCGAUAAAUACACCAAAGUGCUUGUACCCCUCGAGAUGCUGGGCAUAACUCCACCCGAAAGCGAUGAGGUGACUCAGGGCAGUCGAGGCAAUGAUUAUCGCGCCAUUGUAGCCUAUGCUCAGUACAAGGAUGUGGGACAAUUGCUGCCGGAUCUAUAUGAUGAGACGAUCACUAGGCGUUGGGGCGUAGACGUGGAGCUGGCCACGCCCAUUCUUUCACUGCAAAUACUCGUGCCAUCGGCAGAGAGGGAACAGCAGCGACUGGAGAUUCCCUCACGCAAAAUAUCCUCAGCGGGAGGCAGCUACUCUUCCGGAACUGGUUCCUCUUCCUCUUCUUCAACUUCAUCCGCUACGGCUGGUUCCUCUUCCACUACAACUGGCAGCAGUCGGAACCCUUCCAGCACUUUUAACUCUGGCAGCUCGGAGCAACAGUUUGUGGAAGUCUUUGAUGUGCCUAAGGCACCAACUAGCAGCAGCGAGCAACAAAUCGAGGACAUACGCAUCACAGCACACGAGAUUCCUCCGCCUGCCUCAGCAGAGCAGCAGGAAGCCAACAGCAAUGAAGCCAUCGAGGUGGGGGAACAACCGCAUAUACGUCUUAACCUGGAAGAUAUUGAGUUCCAUGGCAACUCUGGAGAAGAGCUGAGUGGCGACAAUUCCCCCGAGCAGCUAAAUCCUAACUAUGAAGGCAAUACGGAUAGCAGCGAGCAACCUAAGGGCGAGAACGAUGCCAUCUACAGGGAUCGACGUCUGGUCAAGCGGCAAGUGGAAGUUAUCUAUCCCUCGGAGCAGCUGCUGAAGCCAGAGCACAUGGUCUAUCGCUCUCUUGGUUCUCCGCACCUUUCGCAACCGAUCAAACUGCAAAUGUGGCUAGACAUGGAUGCUGCCCGCUUUGGACCACGUUCGAAUCCGCAGUGUGUUCGCUGGAAUUCGUUCACCAAUCAAUGGACCCGCCUUGGGUGCCAGACGGAGAUACCUGACUUUGAUGGCGACUUUGCCACAGUCUCACAAUUGCCUAUUUUGAUCAACUGCAGCUGCACACACAUCUCCAACUAUGCGGUCAUUGUCGACAUCAUCGAUCCCGAGGAUAUUCCCGAGCCAUCGUUGUUGGUGCAGAUUACCUCGUACUCGGCCUUCAUGGUAUCGCUGCCUCUGCUGCUGGGCGUGCUCUUGGCCUUGGCUUUGUUGCGUGGUCAGCAGACAAAUUCGAAUACGAUUCACCAGAAUAUUGUUCUCUGCGUGUUUUGUGCCGAGCUGCUCUUCUUUGUGGGCAUGCAGUCAAGGCGUCACCUGCUUGAGAAUGAGUUUCCCUGCAAGCUGAUUGCCAUCUGUCUGCACUACUUCUGGUUGGCCGCAUUCGCCUGGACUACCGUGGACUGUGUGCAUCUCUAUCGCAUGCUUACGGAGAUGCGGGACAUCAACCACGGCCCCAUGGGCUUCUACUUUGCCAUGGGCUAUGGCGCACCUGCCGUCGUCGUUGGACUUUCGGUUGGUGUUCGGGCCCACGAGUACGGCAACAGUUUGUUCUGUUGGCUGUCAGUCUACGAGCCCGUGGUUUGGUGGCUGGUCGGACCCAUAGCCGGCAUGUCUGUAGUCAAUCUGCUGAUACUCUUUGUCUCAGUGAAAGCCGCCUUUACGCUCAAGGACCACGUGCUGGGCUUUGGUAAUCUGCGCACGCUGCUCUGGCUUUCGGUGGUUUCCUUGCCCCUCAUGGGUGUAAUGUGGGUGCUGGCCGUGUUAGCUGCCUCGGAGCACUCGCAGUUGUUGAGUCUGCUGCUCUCUGGUGUGGUGCUGUUGCAUGCACUCUUUUGUCUCAUUGGUUACUGCAUCAUCAACAAGCGAGUGCGCGAAAAUCUGCAGAGAACAUGCUUGCGUUGCAUGGGCCGCAAGGUGCCGCUGCUGGACUCCUCCAUGGUAGUCAGCAACAGUUCGCACAAUGUGAACGGCGCAGCCAGACCAAACAACUUCCUGGCCGGCAACUACGACACAACACGGCGCAAUAUUGGAAUCAGUGCUUCUAGCACCACUUCAAGAAGCACUGCCAAAACAAGCUCUAGUCCCUAUAGCGAUGGCCAGCUGCGUCAAACUUCCACCUCCACCUCGAACUACAAUUCUGCUAGCGAUGCGCCCAGUUUUCUGCGUGGCUUUGAAUCCUCCACAACAGGUCGCAGUCGCGGCGAACGCGAGGAGAAGUCUCGGAGACAGCGCAAGGAUUCCGAUUCAGGUUCAGAGACCGAUGGACGCUCGUUGGAAUUAGCCUCGAGUCACUCCAGCGACGAUGACGAGUCGAGAACCGCACGCUCCUCGGGCACACAUCGCAGCACAGCAGCGAGUGCCACGCCCGCCUAUUUGCCCAACAUUACAGAGCAUGUACAGGCCACAACGCCACCAGAAUUGAAUGUGGUGCAAAGUCCGCAGCUCUUCCCGAGCGUCAACAAGCCCGUCUAUGCCCCUCGCUGGUCCAGUCAGCUGCCCGAUGCCUAUUUGCAGUCCCCACCAAAUAUUGGCCGCUGGUCACAGGACACGGGCUCUGACAAUGAGCAUGUGCACGGGCAGAAGAUGACCAUCUCACCGAAUCCGUUGCCCAAUCCCGAUCUCACCGAUACCAGCUACAUGCAGCAGCAUCACAACAAGAUCAACAUGACGCCCUCGAUCCUGGAGAAUAUACGCGAUGCACGCGAUGGCUACGAGGACAGCUUGUACGGACGGCGCAAUGAUUAUCCCGAUAAAUAUGGCUCCUAUAAGCCGCCCAGUCACUAUGGCAGCGAGAAGGAUUACCCAGGUGGCAAUGGUGGUGCCAGUGGCUCGCAGACCAUUGGACAUCUACGUAGCUUCCACCCGGAUGCAGCAUACCUCAGCGACAACAUCUACGACAAGCAACGCACUUUGGGUAGCGGCUAUCUGGGGGCGAAGUCGGAGUCACCCUAUCUGUCAAAGGAUCGUAUUACGCCCGACAUCUAUGGCUCACGCGAUGGUCACUACAGCCUGAAACGGCAGCCAGCCUAUGCCACAGAUUCACUGCACUCGGUGCACUCGCUGCUGAAGAACGACUAUCAACAGCAGCAGCAACAACAACAGCAGCAGGCACAGCAUGCGGAUCGCUUGUCGGAGGGAUCGGACAAGAACGGGUAUCACUUUCCCUACACCGCCGAGGAGGAUCAUCUUCAGCAACAGGCACGCAAACUGAGCGCCAGCCACCUGAUGCCAAUGCAUCCGCAUGCGGCACUUGUGAACGACAUGAAUAAUCCUGGACUGCUUGCGAGGCACACACUCAAUGGCCAUGGCCUCGUCACGCCCAAUGGUUUGGGAGUCAACGGAGUAGGAGGAGGAGGCGGCAGUUCAAGGCACAGUUCGCGUGCCUCGUCGCCACCCUCGAAUAUGGUGGCACCCAUGCAACCGCUGGGUCCUUUGGCCAGCAUCACGGACACAGACUGGAACUGGGAACGUUUGAAGCAAAUCUAAUUUGACUAUCUUUCACUUCUAUUCUCCUCCCUCUCUCUUUGCUUUGCGCUUUGCUAACAACAACAACAACAAUUGAAUCAACAACAACAUUCACAAAAACACUCAUACACACACUCACACACUCAUGUGCACGCAAUGCAAAAACAAUGGCGGGGCCAAUUGCGUUUUCUUAACCCAAAUACCCGACUCAAAACAACAAAUACAAAUAACACGAACAACAACAACACUGACAAACUCCCAACAACAACAACAAAUCAAUUGAACAACAACAGCUCUGAGGCGGAAUAUUGAUGACGAUGAGACCACAGUGUGACGACUGACGACUGCAAAGCGACAAGUGCAACAUAAACUGCAGCUGCAGCAGCAACUGAGGCAACAACAGCUGGCAACAAAUCAGUUUGCAACCAUCAGACGCAAGCCGCAAUACAAAAGGCAGCCAAAUGUUUAAAAUUAUUAUUUAGUGCUUAACACGCGCAUUGAAAUACUCACACAAAAAAAACGACACACGCACACACACACUCAACGUGUGUGGCAUCAUGUACAUAAGAAAAGAGGAGGAGAGAAGAAUAGAGAAGAGGAGUUAAAAACUUGGACCGUAAUACGAAGCAGUAUACAUCAGAAACAUACGAACUAAUAAGUCUAUAAUAUUUAACACAUAUACAUACAAAUAUGAAUAUAUAUAUAUUUUUGAAUAAGUAUAUUUAAUUAAUUUAAAUGGCAUUUAAAUUAAAAUAAUAAUUUUAUUGAGAAUACUACAUAACGAAAUCUUGCAUUUACUUAGAGCUCUAUGUACGAUCAUUUCUAUGUAUAAUAUGUAUGUGCUACAAUAAGUACAUCAAUCUAAACUAACUUCAAAUUGUAUUUGUAUUAAAUAAAACUCAGACUGAUUUUAUGCAUUUUUUCGAUUAAAUUACAAAUUACCAUAAAAGUUAAUUAAGCUCAAGACACAACAUACUCACCCACACAUCUCUAUAGAUAUUGUAUUUAAGUCUAGUUUAAAUUCCCAGUGGAUGGCGACGUUAAAACAAAAAAAAAAUACAUCCCCAAAAUAACAAAAAUUUAAUGUUUUCCUUUGCAAAUUUUAAACUAUUAAACUUGCUACCCUCAUUACGUAUACGCAAUGUAUGUGCUGGGUAACAGUUCGUCUAACACAUAUAUAUUUUCGAGCUUAUUCAAUUUGCGUUGAUUGAAAUAACAUAACAUAACAAAAGUCAUGUGUGCCUCAUUAUGACUCGUAUCGCACGAGUAGAGCUUAUUAUUAUGCCAAAUUAGUUAAAGUUCAGUUGAGCCCGAAAUGGAAAUCGCCAAAAACUGCACAAAAUGCUAAAUGAAAUGAAAUGAAAUUAUAAUUAAUUUGCAAACGUUGCCAUUUAAUUAGAUAUACACACACAACGCAGUUGAUGCCUGUCGAAAGUUGUACAAUUGAAAUAUAUGUGUGUGCAACUCGCAUAAAUACCGAACGAAUGAAUCAAAAUCAAUGCAAAAAUUAUAAAUACAAAUAUUGCUAUGAAACAACACGACACAACACAUCACACAAAUACACACACAGAACAUAUCCAAGCAGUAAAUGUCUAUGAAAAUAAUCGGAUAACAUAUUUAAUAGUUGUAGCUAGAACAGUUUUUGUGUUCGCAAUGUGCAACAAUUAUAAAUAAUUUAUUACUGGCCACAAUGGAUAACUUGGCCAACUUGUAUUCGAAAUAAACAAAAUUUAAGCUGCUUACAAUAAAGAAAUAAAUAAAUCAAGUACAUUCCAAAGGAUUUGUGGCACUCUGCUCAUGAGCUGGCAAACUAAAAGUAAAAUUAUUAAUAUUUAACUGUAUGUGAAUUGAUAAAUUUAAAUGUAAAUUACGCAAAAUGCAAAUGCAACAAAUUUAAGCAAAUAUUUCGUUAGACAAAUACAAAAAACGUAUAUGAAUAAAAUGUGUAUAUUAUUAAAUUAAACAAAUGCAAA